CCUACGGGAGGCAGCAGUGGGGAAUUUUGCGCAAUGGGGGCAACCCUGACGCAGCAACGCCGCGUGAGUGAUGAAGGCCUUCGGGUCGUAAAGCUCUGUCAGAGGGGAAGAAAUGCAGGUGGUGAACAACCAUUCUGUUUGACGGUACCCUCAAAGGAAGCACCGGCUAACUCCGUGCCAGCAGCCGCGGUAAUACGGAGGGUGCGAGCGUUGUUCGGAAUUAUUGGGCGUAAAGCGCGUGUAGGCGGUUUGUUAAGUCUGAGGUAAAAGCCCCGGGCUCAACCUGGGAAGUGCAUUGGAUACUGGCAGACUAGAGUACGGGAGAGGAGAGUGGAAUUCCCAGUGUAGGAGUGAAAUCCGUAGAUAUUGGGAGGAACACCGGUGGCGAAGGCGGCCCUCGGGCGCUUGACUGACGCUGAGGCGCGAAAGCGUGGGGAGCAAACAGGAUUAGAUCCCCUG
rnacentral:rRNA from 1 species